AGAAAGUAGAAUAUAGCCUCUGUAAAAACCCUUGGAAAUUCCAAUACAUGAAAUUCGCUGGAUGUUGUGCAGGGUGCUGCUGUAAACACCAACACGUGGCUGUUAACAGAACUUCCGAGGUAUCAUCUAAACAGCUGCUUGAGCAGAAAGCAUGGAAGGCAUCGCAUACGUUUUAGUAUGUCUCGUACCUGAUACUGAUUGCAUUUGGGCUAUUUUGUGUUUGUUGUGUAUGGUGUUGUCAAGAGCGCCAGAAAAGAACAGUUGUUUAUGAGCCAUUAGAUAGUGUGAGGACUGAGGAAAACUCUGGCAACAUACAGUUU
rnacentral:lncRNA from 1 species